rnacentral:tRNA from 1 species
AUAUAAUUAGCUUAUAAUAACUUAAUAUUAGAAUUAAUAAAGUAAAUAUUAGCUUAUAUUAAUUAUAAAUUUAAUCCUAAAAUAUUUAAAAUAUAAUAUAAAAAACUAUAAAUAAAAUAAAUAAUAUUAUAAAUAAAUAAACUAAAAAAAUUAUAUAAAAAAAUAUAAUAUAAAUUAAAAUUUAUAUAAAAUAAAAUAAUAUAAUAUUAAAAUUAUAAAAAAUUAAAAUUAUUUAUUAUUAA